CCUACGGGAGGCAGCAGUGGGGGAUAUUGCACAAUGGGGGGAACCCUGAUGCAGCGACGCCGCGUGGGUGAAGAAGCGCCUCGGCGCGUAAAGCCCUGUCAGCAGGGAAGAAAAUGACGGUACCUGACGAAGAAGCCCCGGCUAACUACGUGCCAGCAGCCGCGGUAAUACGUAGGGGGCAAGCGUUAUCCGGAUUUACUGGGUGUAAAGGGGGCGCAGACGGCACGGCAAGCCCGAAGUGAAAGCCCGGGGCCCAACCCCGGGACUGCUUUGGGAACUGCGGGGCUAGAGUGCAGGAGGGGCAAGCGGAAUGCCUGGUGUAGCGGUGAAAUGCGUAGAUAUCAGGAGGAACACCAGUGGCGAAGGCGGCUUGCUGGACUGUAACUGACGUUGAGGCUCGAAAGCGUGGGGAGCAAACAGGAUUAGAUACCCUAGUAGUC
rnacentral:rRNA from 1 species